rnacentral:rRNA from 1 species
GACGAACGCUGGCGGCGUGCCUAAUACAUGCAAGUCGAACGCAGUGGGGACGGGUGAGUAACACGUGGGUAACCUCCCAUCAGAGGGGAUAACACUUGGAAACAGGUGCUAAACCGAUAUUGAUGUAUGUACCCGCGGUGCAUUAGCUAGUUGGUGAGGUAACGGCUCACCAAGGCCACGAUGCAUAGCCGACCGUGUAGGGUGAUCGGCCACACGGGAACGGAGACACGGUCCAGACUCCUACGGGAGGCAGCAGUAGGGAAUCGUCGACAAUGGACGAAAGUCUGACCGAGCAACUCCGCGUGAGUGAAGAAGGUUUUCGGGUCGUAAAACACUGUUGUUAGAGAAGCGGUAUCUAACCAGAAAGCAACGGCUAACUACGUGCCAGCAGCCGCGGUAAUAC